rnacentral:rRNA from 1 species
UGGCUCAGGACGAACGCUGGCGGCGUGCUUAACACAUGCAAGUCGAGCGGUAAGGCCCNUUCGGGGGUACACGAGCGGCGAACGGGUGAGUAACACGUGAGCAAUCUGCCCUNCACAUCGGGAUAACUCUCGGAAACGAGAGCUAAUACCGGAUACGACCACUUCAGGCAUCUGAUGGUGGUGGAAAGUUCCGGCGGUGAAGGAUGAGCUCGCGGCCUAUCAGCUUGUUGGUGGGGUAACGGCCCACCAAGGCUUCGACGGGUAGCCGGCCCGAGAGGGUGACCGGCCACACUGGGACUGAGACACGGCCCAGACUCCUACGGGAGGCAGCAGUGGGGAAUAUUGGACAAUGGGCGAAAGCCUGAUCCAGCAACGCCGCGUGAGGGAUGACGGCCUUCGGGUUGUAAACCUCUUUCAGUAGGGACGAAGCGCAAGUGACGGUACCUACAGAGGAAGCACCGGCCAACUACGUGCCAGCAGCCGCGGUAAUACGUAGGGUGCGAGCGUUGUCCGGAAUUAUUGGGCGUAAAGGGCUCGUAGGCGGUUUGUUACGUCGGGAGUGAAAACCCAGGGCUCAACCCUGGGCCUGCUUCCGAUACGGGCAGACUAGAGGUAUGCAGGGGAGAACGGAAUUCCUGGUGUAGCGGUGAAAUGCGCAGAUAUCAGGAGGAACACCGGUGGCGAAGGCGGUUCUCUGGGCAUUACCUGACGCUGAGGAGCGAAAGUGUGGGGAGCGAACAGGAUUAGAUACCCUGGUAGUCCACACCGUAAACGUUGGGCGCUAGGUGUGGGACUCAUUCCACGAGUUCCGUGCCGCAGCUAACGCAUUAAGCGCCCCGCCUGGGGAGUACGGCCGCAAGGCUAAAACUCAAAUGAAUUGACGG